rnacentral:rRNA from 1 species
UACGUAGGGUCCAAGCGUUAUCCGGAAUCACUGGGCGUAAAGCGUGCGUAGGUGGCGUGUUAAGUGUGAUGUUAAAUCGUGGGGCUCAACCCUGUCGGUGCAUCACAUACUGGCAUGCUAGAGGACGGCAGAGGCAAGUGGAAUUACGAGUGUAGCAGUGAAAUGCGUAGAUAUUCGUAGGAACACCAAUGGCGAAGGCAGCUUGCUGGGCCAUUCCUGACACUGAGGUACGAAAGCGUGGGGAGCGAACAGG